UAGGGAAUCUUCGGCAAUGGACGAAAGUCUGACCGAGCAACGCCGCGUGAGUGAAGAAGGUUUUCGGAUCGUAAAGCUCUGUUGUUAAAGAAGAACACGUAUGAGAGUAACUGUUCAUACGUUGACGGUAUUUAACCAGAAAGUCACGGCUAACUACGUGUCAG
rnacentral:rRNA from 1 species